rnacentral:rRNA from 1 species
UGAGUAACACGUGGGGAACCUGCCCCAUAGUCUGGGAUACCACUUGGAAACAGGUGCUAAUACCGGAUAAGAAAGCGGAUCGCAUGAUCAGCUUUUAAAAGGCGGCGUAAGCUGUCGCUAUGGGAUGGCCCCGCGGUGCAUUAGCUAGUUGGUAAGGUAACGGCUUACCAAGGCAACGAUGCGUAGCCGACCUGAGAGGGUGAUCGGCCACACUGGAACUGAGACACGGUCCAGACUCCUACGGGAGGCAGCAGGC